UUUAACGAGAGUUUGAUCCUGGCUCAGGAUGAACGCUGGCGGCGUGCUUAACACAUGCAAGUCGAGCGAAGCACCUUGACGGAUUUCUUCGGAUUGAAGCCUUGGUGACUGAGCGGCGGACGGGUGAGUAACGCGUGGGUAACCUGCCUCAUACAGGGGGAUAACAGUUGGAAACGGCUGCUAAUACCGCAUAAGCGCACAGUACCGCAUGGUACGGUGUGAAAAACUCCGGUGGUAUGAGAUGGACCCGCGUCUGAUUAGGUAGUUGGUGGGGUAACGGCCUACCAAGCCGACGAUCAGUAGCCGACCUGAGAGGGUGACCGGCCACAUUGGGACUGAGACACGGCCCAAACUCCUACGGGAGGCAGCAGUGGGGAAUAUUGCACAAUGGGGGAAACCCUGAUGCAGCGACGCCGCGUGAGCGAUGAAGUAUUUCGGUAUGUAAAGCUCUAUCAGCAGGGAAGAAAAUGACGGUACCUGACUAAGAAGCCCCGGCUAACUACGUGCCAGCAGCCGCGGUAAUACGUAGGGGGCAAGCGUUAUCCGGAUUUACUGGGUGUAAAGGGAGCGUAGACGGCAUGGCAAGCCAGAUGUGA
rnacentral:rRNA from 1 species